rnacentral:rRNA from 1 species
UACAGAGGUUGCAAGCGUUAAUCGGAAUUACUGGGCGUAAAGCGCGCGUAGGUGGCUAUCUAAGUCGGAUGUGAAAUCCCUGAGCUUAACUUAGGAAUUGCAUUCGAUACUGGUUGGCUUGAGUUUGGUAGAGGAGAGUUGAAUUCCCGGUGUAGCGGUGAAAUGCGUAGAUAUCGGGAGGAACAUCAGUGGCGAAGGCGGCUCUCUGGACUAAAACUGACACUGAGGCGCGACAGCGUGGGGAUCAAACAGG